GAUGAACGCUGGCGGCGUGCCUAAUACAUGCAAGUCGAGCGAACGGACGAGAAGCUUGCUUCUCUGAUGUUAGCGGCGGACGGGUGAGUAACACGUGGAUAACCUACCUAUAAGACUGGGAUAACUUCGGGAAACCGGAGCUAAUACCGGAUAAUAUUUUGAACCGCAUGGUUCAAAAGUGAAAGACGGUCUUGCUGUCACUUAUAGAUGGAUCCGCGCUGCAUUAGCUAGUUGGUAAGGUAACGGCUUACCAAGGCAACGAUGCAUAGCCGACCUGAGAGGGUGAUCGGCCACACUGGAACUGAGACACGGUACAGACUCCUACGGGAGGCAGCAGUAGGGAAUCUUCCGCAAUGGGCGAAAGCAUGACGGAGCAACGCCGCGUGAGUGAUGAAGGUCUUCGGAUCGUAAAACUCUGUUAUUAGGGAAGAACAUAUGUGUAAGUAACUGUGCACAGCUUGACGGUACCUAAUCAGAAAGCCACGGCUAACUACGUG
rnacentral:rRNA from 1 species